UACCAGCACCCCGAGUGGUCGGGACGAUUAUUGGGCCUAAAGCAUCCGUAGCCGGUUUUACAAGUCCUCCAUUAAAUCCAGCUGCUUAACAGAUGGGCUGCGGAGGAUACUAUAAGACUAGGAGGCAGGAGAGGCAAGCGGUACUCAGUGGGUAGGGGUAAAAUCCGUUGAUCCAUUGAAGACCACCAGUGGCGAAGGCGGCUUGCCAGAAUGCGCUCGACGGUGAGGGAUGAAAGCUGGGGGAGCAAACCGG
rnacentral:rRNA from 1 species